GGAAUGUGGCUCAGUGGUAGAGUGCUUGCCUAGCAUGCAUGAAGCCCUGGGUUCGAUUCCUGGUACCA
rnacentral:tRNA from 1 species